UGUAAUUCUGUAGCUGGAAUUGUGCUUUAAAGGUGGAAUUUCUGCAUUAAAGACUACUUUUAUCGGCAGCUGCCCACUCAGCUGAGCUGCCAGGUAAAGGGUUGAACAGUGCCCUACUUACGUCCGGUUCAGUUUCUCAGAUUCCGCCCGGUUACUCAGUAGAGGAUCAUGGGAAUGGCCCGUUAUCUCCAGUCACAAGGUUCAGAAAUAGCCUGCAGUCGGAGAAGCUUCAAAGCUGACAAAGAGAUGCUAGCAGGUUGACGCAAGUUAACAACAUACAGUAUUCAAGAUUUUCUGUCAGCUGCAAUUAUGAACACCACAGAAACCAAUAAUGUCAUAAAUGCGCAUGAUGACAAAGAUGACAAAGAUGGAGCAGCGGCCAAAAAUGAACCAAUGACCAUUGCAGUGUCUGCAAGCACACUGUUUAACACGAAGGACCAAAAAGAAAGUGAGACCAACGGGGAAACGAUUUUGAAGCUGGGAGUGGCAUUUCCUUUUAUAAAGGCCUUGGUGACAGCAAAUAAACAUUUACAGAAGCUUUACCCUGGCAAUGAGAUACCAUUCAACAUUGUCCUGAUGACUAAUACAGACACACAAGAGCAAUGCCUCAGAAACAGCCUCAAUGAGUUUAUGUCUUGUCUAUUUAAGUUCUUGUCUUCCCUGAC